CCUCCUAUUGCAUGGUUGUACCUUCUGAUUAUUUCUGGUCUUUCUAUUUUUUCACAAGUUGUUUGCUUGAACAAAGACUUUCCUUGUUGUAAUGCAUAAAUAUUUGUGUAUUUCAACAUUGUACUAAAUAGUUCUUCAGGUAUAUAUCUUUUGAAUAACUGCUCAGGUGAUAACAAUUCAGGAUCCUCAAAAUUUGGAGCAUUAUAUUCUUCUAUGCUGCAAAUAAGAGAUUUCCGCUUUCAUCUGAUGGAUUCCUUUGAAGUGAAUAUAAUAUUUGUCAUCAUCAUCCAGUAUAAUCCUAUUUCCGUCUUCUGGAAUAUUCAGUUGACAGUAGUUUUGUGUAGUUUCAUUUCCAUCUUCAUCAGGAAAAGGAUCAAUGAUAUUCUCAGUUUUUCUUACUUUUUCUGCUCCAACACGUUUUCUGUUCAAAUACAGAUGGAAUAUAUCAUCUUCAAUUUUAUUGUCAGAUAAUUCACAUUCUGAAUCAAGACCAUCCCCUAACAUAUCUAAAAUUGUUUCCAAAUCAUUUUCGACGGAAAGUUGUUUAGUAGUUCAUCUAUGACGAGGUAAUAAGAUCAAAUGUUAUGUUACUCUUACAUAAAUCCAUGUAAAAUAUCUGAAUUUACAAAUAUUAAAUUAAACCACAAAAAGAAUAAUUAAAUCUAAUAACAUAA
rnacentral:lncRNA from 1 species